GAUGAACGCUGGCGGCGUGCCUAAUACAUGCAAGUCGAGCGAACAGACGAGGAGCUUGCUCCUCUGACGUUAGCGGCGGACGGGUGAGUAACACGUGGAUAACCUACCUAUAAGACUGGGAUAACUUCGGGAAACCGGAGCUAAUACCGGAUAAUAUAUUGAACCGCAUGGUUCAAUAGUGAAAGACGGUUUUGCUGUCACUUAUAGAUGGAUCCGCGCCGCAUUAGCUAGUUGGUAAGGUAACGGCUUACCAAGGCGACGAUGCGUAGCCGACCUGAGAGGGGGAUCGGCCACACUGGAACUGAGACACGGUCCAGACUCCUACGGGAGGCGGCAGUAGGGAAUCUUCCGCAAUGGGCGAAAGCUUGACGGAGCAACGCCGCGUGAGUGAUGAAGGUCUUCGGAUCGUAAAACGCUGUUAUUAGGGAAGAACAAAUGUGUAAGUAACUAUGCACGUCUUGACGGUACCUAAUCAGAAAGCCACGGCUAACUACGU
rnacentral:rRNA from 1 species